rnacentral:rRNA from 1 species
UGGGAAUUUUGGACAAUGGGGCAACCCUGAUCCAGCAAUGCCGCGUGUGUGAAGAAGGCCUUCGGGUUGUAAAGCACUUUUGUCCGGAAAGAAAUCGCCCUGGCUAAUAUCCGGGGUGGAUGACGGUACUGGAAGAAUAAGCACCGGCUAACUACGUGCCAGCAGCCGCGGUAAUACGUAGGGUGCGAGCGUUAAUCGGAAUUACUGGGCGUAAAGCGUGCGCAGGCGGUUGUGCAAGACAGAUGUGAAAUCCCCGGGGCUUAACCUGGGAAAUGGCAUUUGUGACUGCACAGCUAGAGUGUGUCAGAGGGGGGUAGAAUUCCACGUGUAGCAGUGAAAUGCGUAGAUAUGUGGAGGAACACCGAUGGCGAAGGCAGCCCCCUGGGAUAACACUGACGCCCAUGCACGAAAGCGUGGGGAGCAAACAGGAUUAGAUACCCUGGUAGUCCACGCCCUAAACGAUGUCAACUAGUUGUCGGGUCUUAAUUGACUUAGGUAACGCAGCUAACGCGUGAAGUUGACCGCCUGGGGAGUACGGUCGCAAGAUU